UCCUACUUCUGGGCACAUUGUAGAACUUGUUUUCUGCUUGGGGUGGGCUGAUGAUGAUUGUGAUGUGGAGGAACUCUCUACAGUUCUGUUGCCAUGGACUGAUCAUUACCUGAUCAGGUUUAGACUCACUGGGACUCCAAACAUCCACAGCAGCCGAGAAUUGAUUAAGAUGGUCCAACCCAGAAGGCUGAUUGAUCCGGAUGGGUUUCUGAUAGCUCUUAGGGAUUUUCCUGUCACUUCAGAAGGCGAUUCUGUAGAAGCUGUGGCUGGCGACUGGAAUGAGGAAAUGAUUGAGAUGGUGGAACAUCAUCGCCUCUGAGUGUCCCUUCUUAUAGCCUCCUGGGCUUCCAGGGAUAGAGGCUGUACCAACAGUGGAAUAAUUUGGUUGGAUUCAAUCAUAGCGGUGGUGGAGGUAGUGUUUUAAUAGCAUUUGCAUUUCACAUUCUCUAACUAUGGACCUUAUCCCAUGGAUUGAGGACUCCGUUUCCAUGUGCUUUGUAAAUGAACUUCCAUGGAGGCCAUCACAUGACAUAAGAGCAUUUCCAGUGGGACUCAGUUUCUGCAGCGCAACAGGACCCAGAGGAAAACAAGGGAAAGAUGGUUGGCCAUCCCAGAAGACGGACCUUGAUGGGACAGAACGGAGUAAGAUGGCUUCCCCCCCUGCUCCCCUGUUUCAGGAUGAGGUCCUGUGUCAACCAGUGGAAAAUUUUGUGUAAGGCAAACAUGCAUAUUUUUUGAGGAUAAUGUUAUUCCUAAGGUUAUUUUCCUUUUUGCAAACAUCAGAGAAAUGGCAUUUUGCCAAUAAAUAAAUCUGCCAACUAGAUUUUCUGUCCUAAGGGCCGUCCUACUAGAAAAACUUCCAGAAAAUGCUUCCUCUCCUUUGUUUCUCUACACAAAUGGGCGUGCUUACUGAGAUUCUCUACUUUCAGUUCUAGAAAUCUAAGGGAAGACAUUUGGGGCCACUUCAAAUUGUCUGGUAAUUGCUUGAGAACAAACUCGCAUACAGAAACUAACAUGGAAUGAAUUCUCUAUAACCCAGACCCUUCCAUAUCCAGUGACAUGUAAUUACUUAAGAAGGGCAGUGUAGGAUUGUUAAAAUAAUGACUCCCCUCCCCACUUUUUCAGAACUCUGAACAAUGAUGAUGCUAAAGCAGUUAUUAGCAAACAUUCCUAGGCCUUUUCCUAUAAUUGCUUAUGAAGUGCUAGGAACAGUAGUACAAGAUGUGAUUAUGUAUUUUUAAGUAUUGAAGAGUGCAUCCUUCCUGUAAUAAAGCCGUAUCUGUCCUCUGAACAAAUAAAAUGUGUUGAACUGUAA